rnacentral:rRNA from 1 species
CCUACGGGAGGCAGCAGUGAGGAAUAUUGGUCAAUGGCCGUAAGGCUGAACCAGCCAAGUCGCGUGAAGGAAGAAGGAUCUAUGGUUUGUAAACUUCUUUUAUAGGGGAAUAAAGGUAUCCACGUGUGGAUAUUUGCAUGUACCCUAUGAAUAAGCAUCGGCUAACUCCGUGCCAGCAGCCGCGGUAAUACGGAGGAUGCGAGCGUUAUCCGGAUUUAUUGGGUUUAAAGGGUGCGUAGGUUGUUUUUUAAGUCAGCGGUGAAAGUUUGUGGCUCAACCAUAAAAUUGCCGUUGAAACUGGAAGACGUGAAUGUGUGUGAGGUAGGCGGAAUGCGUGGUGUAGCGGUGAAAUGCAGAGAUAUCACGCAGAACUCCGAUUGCGAAGGCAGCUUACUAAGCCAUAACUGACACUGAAGCACGAAAGCGUGGGGAUCAAACAGGAUUAGAUACCCCUGUAGUC